rnacentral:misc_RNA from 1 species
GUUUUUUUUUUUUUUUAUCUUCUUUGAAUUUCUGAACAACAAAGCGAGAGGAAUUAGAAAUGGCGGAUCAACUCACAGAUGACCAGAUCUCCGAGUUCAAGGAAGCCUUCAGCUUAUUCGAUAAAGAUGGAGACGGUUGCAUUACCACAAAGGAGCUUGGUACUGUGAUGAGAUCGCUGGGACAGAACCCCACUGAGGCGGAACUCCAGGACAUGAUUAACGAAGUUGAUGCUGAUGGGAAUGGAACUAUUGAUUUCCCUGAGUUUCUGAAUCUUAUGGCUAGGAAGAUGAAAGACACCGACUCAGAGGAGGAGUUGAAAGAGGCAUUCAGAGUUUUUGACAAGGAUCAGAAUGGUUUUAUUUCUGCAGCUGAGCUGCGCCAUGUAAUGACAAACCUUGGCGAGAAGCUUACUGAUGAAGAAGUUGAUGAAAUGAUAAGGGAGGCAGAUGUUGAUGGUGAUGGCCAGAUAAAUUAUGAGGAAUUUGUGAAGGUCAUGAUGGCAAAGUGAUCACCCUACUGCCACCAAAACUAAACCGAAAGAAUUCUUAAAAGGUUAAGAAAGGAUUCCUAUUUUUCUUUUUUCCUUUUGUAGCGAUUUUAAUCUGAUGCUUUUGGAUCAAGCUCAAAAGGUUGUUCGUAGUGAUGGUUUGUUUGGUGUUUAUUUUUAAUGUGUCUAGUGUCUUGCUAAACUAAAUUUUCUUUGGCAAUUUAUGUUUUCAUUUUCUAAUUUCCAUAAACUUGAUCUAUCAGUAUACAAUGCUUUCUGUCUAAUUUUAUUGUGCAUUGAUGCUGUGUAUUUGCUUUUUCCUAUUGCUAGGUCCCAAUCCCCCUUGGUUUGUGUAUAUUAAUCAUUUAUUUGUGAGUUAAUGUGGGUAUGUCCUGUUGCUUCUGUUUGGUAACCUUUGUUAGUCCAUCAAGGAGUUAAAAUUGAACAUUAUUGCAGCACUUGGCUGUUAUUGAUAUUAUAUAUCUUUGGAGACUGCACUAGGCUGUUUUUAAUUGGGCAUAUUAGUUACCAUGGAGAUCACAUCUUGUCUCUAUUUUUUUUUUUAUUAUUCUUUCAUUAUUUCUUUUUCACUCUAGCUAGAUCUAAAAUUUCUGGAAAGAAACCUCCUUAGAAUAGAGGGGAAAAAGUGGUGAAAAUAGGAAAGGAUAUCGAUGGCUUUAGAAAAGAAUAGAAGAGUUGAAGAGAGAGCAUGGAGAAUUCGGGAAGAGAAGUGCAAGCUUUAGCUGCCCCAUUUUCUCUUUUACUUUUUUUUUAUAUUAUUUUUUAAAUGGUGAUAAGUGAGCCGCUUUUCACUUUAUAAAGUGGUGGAAGGAAAAUUUUCUUAUUACUUCCCUCCAGUAUGUUAAAUUUGUUUAACCUUUGGUUUUCACUUUCUCUGCAAAUCUUCUUCUCAUUCCAUACAAUAUACCACGCUUAUUACAGCUAAACCUCUAGAUGAUGAGAAGUAGAUAUUCUCCUUCCAACCCUUUAAAGAGAAUGAUUAUAUCAACUAGGGCACUGAAAAAUAGUGAUUUCUUAAAAAUAAAAAAUUAAUUUUUUUAUAAUUUUAAGAAGGUGGGACUCUUCUAUCCAGGUAAAGGGUGCAUGUGUGUUAGAUAAAGGGUGCAUGUGUGUUAGAUGCAUUUAAUAAUCUUGUUAAUGUAUUCAAUAGAAAGU